rnacentral:rRNA from 1 species
GGGAUUAGAUACCCCACUAUGCUUAGCCCUAAACCUCGGUAGUACAUCACACCAGCUACCCGCCAGGGUACUACGAGCAUUAGCUUGAAACCCAAAGGACUUGGCGGUGCUUUAGACCCACCUAGAGGAGCCUGUCGUAGAACCGAUAUUCCCCGUUAAACCUUACCUCUUCUUGUUUAACCCGCCUAUAUACCGCCGUCGUAAGCUUACCCUGUGAAGGCUAAAUAGUGAGCUUAACUAGUACAACCCAAAACGUCAGGUCGAGGUGUAGCGCAUGAGGAGGAAUCAGAUGGGCUACAUUCCCUUUUUAAGAGAAUACGAAUUAUCCCGUUGAAACACGGAUAUGAAGGAGGAUUUAGAAGUAAGCCGGAAAUAGAGUGUCCUGCUGAAGCUGGCUCUAGAGCGUGCACACACCGCCCGUCA